rnacentral:tRNA from 2 species
GCGGAUGUAGCGUAAUGGCAGCGCAGGAGACUGUGGAUCUUCAGGCCCGGGUUCGAUUCCCGGCUUCCGCC